GGCCCGGCACUCACAGGCUGCCGGAGCAGGAGGUACAGACGAAGGAGCCGACCGUCAUGUUCACGAGCUCAGCUAUUAACUCAACUUAGGAAAGGGAUUGCAAAAUGGACUGUCUCCUGUUGUGAAGAGAUUCUGAUGCCUUUACAUCGCACUACCAAAGGCUUGAAGAAAGUGCAACAGGGGACAUUCUUUGGAUAAGAGGAAACAUUUACAUUGUUUCCAUUGUGGUUUUGGCUUACUGGGAGAUAGAAAAUGCUUCCUUCCUGGGUCCCCAACGAAUUCCUGGGACUAUCCAUAAAACUCUCCCCAGCAUGGAGUACACACGGUAACAGGGUAGUAAUAACAUCUGUGUGAACGAACUUGUAGAUUCCUUUAUCAUCAUUUACAACUGAACAGAUUACAGAUUCUGGAUUUGACAUUCCCGACUGUGUAUGAGACCAGUUUAAGCUUCAGUUUAGAACCUCGCCCAACUUUACUUUAUGGCGAAAAUGACUGGUUUAAAGUUCGCCUAGGAUUGGAAGCUGGAAAAUGCGGGAAGGCACCAGGAUCUGCCACCCUAAAACAUUGCCUCUUUGGCAUAUGAAUCAUUUUGAGAACCAGAAGAAGAAGGAAAAGCUUUAAAAACAAGGCACAAGUUUCCCUUUCGUGAAGGAAUUUUGUGCUAACCUUAAGAACUAUCAGUGGAAAGGCACCAUAAUAAAUGUUACUAAACAAUC